rnacentral:lncRNA from 1 species
CAAGCAAAUCCAUAGGCUAAGUUGGAAAAGUAUGACAUGGUGAGCAGUCUCAAAUAGUUUACAUUUUAACCACCACUUUUUUUUUCUCUAUAUAAAGGCACUAAAAUCAAGGACAUAAACCUCACUCAUAAUCAAACCAAAACCUCAUAAACCCUUCUCUAAAUUUCUCAUCAAACCAAACCCUAAAAUCAUUUUUCAUUCAAUGGCUUCAUUUCCUUUGGUAACAACUCUUUUAAUAUUUCCAUUUCUUUUCUCCACUAUUGUUUAUGGUUACUCAUUAAGUUCCAUAAAAUCAUGGUGUAGCC